rnacentral:rRNA from 1 species
CCUACGUGCGGCAGCAGUGGGGAAUAUUGGGCAAUGGGCGCAAGCCUGACCCAGCAACGCCGCGUGAAGGAAGAAGGCUUUCGGGUUGUAAACUUCUUUUGUCAGGGACGAAGCAAGUGACGGUACCUGACGAAUAAGCCACGGCUAACUACGGGCCAGCAGCCGCGGUAAUACGUAGGUGGCAAGCGUUAUCCGGAUUUAUUGGGUGUAAAGGGCGUGUAGGCGGGAAUGCAAGUGAGAUGUGAAAACUAUGGGCUCAACCCAUAGCCUGCAUUUGAAACUGUAUGUCUUGAGUGCUGGAGAGGCAAGCGGAAGUCCGGGUGUAGCGGUGAAAUGCGUAGAUAUACGGAGGAACACCAGUGGCGAAGGCGGAUUGCUGGACAGUAACUGACGCUGAGGCGCGAAAGCGUGGGGAGCAAACAGGAUUAGAUACCCCAGUAGUC